AAUCCACUCCUUUAAUCCGUAGUACAAACGUGAAGUGAAUCCAGCACGUCAAGUUGCCGACCAGCUAUGAAUUGCUCCAUUCAAGUUUGUGUUGUCAUUGCACUUUUCGUGUUGCUCCAGUUUCAUUCAAGCCACUGCGAAAGCACAGCUAAAGAUGAAAAGAUUCAAUGGAAAGACAAAGGCUAUAUAACCUCAUCAACGAGUAUGGAAUUUAGGGGCUAUAAGUGUAAAACCGACCAAGAUUGCAUAGACUUACUUAAAUGUAAGAAGGCCAAGUGUUCGAAGGAUUUGGGCAUGUGUGAUAGGAUAAAGUCGUCGCCGUGUUAAUAUUAAGAAAAUUGUAUACAAGCAGCUAUAUAUUAUGAAAGCCUGUUUUUAAUUGAAAAACAAUUAAUAAUAUAAGAAUAAGCUUAUGAAGUACUUGAAACAUUAAA